rnacentral:other from 1 species
UGUGUCCAGACCAUUGAUGCCAUAAGGCGUUGAGCAC